GGCUCGGAGUUUUCUUUGUAAGAUGUUAAGCUAUAAAUUCAAUUUCUUUAAUUUUGAUAGAAUUUUUGAGGUUAUUUAUGUUUGAUUGAGCUUCGGUAGCUUAUGUCUUUCAAGGAAUUUUCCCAUUUCGUGUAUGUUGUGGGACUUACGUUAUCUGUAGUAACAUCCUUUUUCUCAGGCCUGCUGUCAGCAAUUUGUUAUUUCUCUCCCUCUGUCUCUCUCAUCAGUCUGGCUAGAGAUUUAUUACUUUUAUUGAGGUUUUAAAGAAUGAGCUUCUGGUUUCAUUGACUUUUCUCUGAUGUUUUCCUAUUUCAUUAAUUACUCUCAAUUAUUUUCUCCCUUCUGCUUUCUCUGGGUUUACUUUGCUAUUUGUUCCUAGUUUCUUGAAGUGAAAGCUUAGAUCAUUGAUUUGAGAUCUUCUUUUGUUAUGCUAGUACUGAAUUCUAUAAAUUUCCCUCUAAGAACUCAUUCAGUUGUCCUCCACCAAUUUUGAUAUGUUUGUAUUUUUAAUUAAUGAAAAAUAUCUUCUAAUUUCCCUUGUGAUCCCCUCCUUGAUUCAUGGGUUAUUCAGAAGGAAGCUUUUUAACUUUGAAAUAUUUGGGAAUGUUUCAAAUAUCUUUCUGUUAUUUACCUAGGUAUUCUGGUAUUUUUCCUGUUGAUCCACUCUGUCCUGCUUUAGUUAUUAUGGAUGUUUGAUGGCUUCUGUGGAAAAUAAUGAAAUAAUCCCCCAGUCAGAAGGAUUCUGAGCUUUCCUAACAGUGAAAAUUACCUGGUGCUGGAUCUUUCCGAGUGCUCGCCAAGGCAGACUGUUGAGGAAGAAGCACACUCUGUUGGGGUCCAGCAGAUCUUGGCUCUGGUCAGCCCUUGCUUAGUCAAAUGUGACCUUGGCUAAAGACCUUAGUAGAAUCUGUGUUUUCUUGUCUGUGAAGUGGACGUCGUAAUUCCUGCUUCAUGAUGUCACAGAGUUUUCGUAAAGAUCAAGUAAGCUAAUUAAACUCUCCUGAUGAAUUACUGAGCGUGUAAAAUGGAAGAUGUUAUUAUUCUUGGCAGACAUUUUCUACAUGUAAAAUUAUUUGUUGUGCUAUCCUUCACUAGAAUUCUGUUUGACUAUUUAAACAGAUUUUUCUAAAGAUCUGACUUUAUAAUAUAGAUGAUAAAGUAUCAGAUUAAAGAUAGCACUCAUCUCAUUAACUUCUAAUAACCAGAUUUAUAACUAAGAGGAGUGUGAUUACAUAGAAGAGUUACCUGCUUGAAUGAGAAAUUGGGUAUAAUUUUAUAGAUGUUUUAGUUAAUAAACAAACCAAACAUCUUUAAAAAAAAUCCACACUGAGUAAAAGGUGGGUCAAACAGCCCUUUUCUGGGAUUUCUGAAAUUCACUUUCCUAAUCCUGCUAGCUCCUCUGUUACCCUCAAUAGGAGGGUUAGUUCUUUGUGUCUCACUGGGUCAUGCUGCGCUCUGUUUAGCCAAGUUGAAUCAGGUAAGUUUUAAUGUUUGACAUUUAGACUUUAAAUAAAAGAGAAAGCCAGAACAAAGGAAAACGGUUGUGUUCCCUGUCCUUGUGCCUUGUCCUGCUGUCAGCAAUUCAGUGGCUUUAGAAGUCUUCGGGGCCAAGUGUCCUUGAAAAGUAAUAUUUUUAAUUCUUAGCAGUGAGACUCUGGGGGAACUCUCUCCGGAGGAAUCCUUGCUUAUACCAUCUGCUCAGCUGUUAUAUAAGGUUUGCUGUAGUAAACUAGAACAAGUUUCAAGCUUUUCCCGUGACAAAAAAUUUAAAAAAAGUUAACCACGGCCUGCUUGCUUGAAAGGUCAAUGCAUCUUUAAUGUACUUUAUUCAUUCAACAAACAGCUGGCAGUGUCAUAUGUGCUGAUCGCGGAAUAAGAGGGAAUUUGAGAGUCAAAGCUUCUGCCCACACAUGAAGGAUUCAUUCCAGCUGGGAAAGCACUUAAUAUACAGGGAAACAGAGCAGGUCAUCUCAAACAGUAAGAUGUGCUUUGAAGGACACAGGCUGUCCUACUGAGCAGGGGUAGGAGAACUUCAGCUUGGGGUGAAUCAGGCCUGAGCCUGUUUCUGAUUUGCAUAUCCUCAACGGUGGCUUCCAUACUGUUACAGAAAAGGCGUCCCCACCCAGACCCCAACAGAGGGUUCGUGGAUCUCUCUCAAGAAAGAAUUCAAGGCGAGUCCAGAGUGCAAAGCAAAAGCAAGUUUAUUAAGAAAGCACAGUGGUGAGAGGACAGCUACUCCAUAGCCAGCAUAGGACGUUUCUGAGAGCAAGAGGAGGAGUGCGUCCACCCCCGGUACCAUGCUGGGUCCACAGGGGGCGUGAUUUCAAAGGCAGAAACUUCCCAGCGCCAUGCCUCCAUCCGCCUCCGCAUCCGGGAACCUACAGUUCUUGGUCUAACUUUCCUAGGGCGCCAGGGCUAAGUUAAAUUCCAGAACUCUUUGGGUUCAAUAUUUACUUCACCAGUAAGCUCCCCACAGCGCCAGGGCCUCUUCCCCAUUCCUGGAGCCAGGAAGCCCAAGAACCUUGGACACAUCGGAAAAGAAUGGGAUGGAAGCUGAGUGCGUCUCCCUCCGGAUCUGGGAACUGGGAGCAUCUUCGGGACCCCUCUCUGCUCUCCCCUGCGUCAUGCAACCCGGUUAUUUCUUGAGCAGCGGGAAGCAAGGAGAGAAAGCAGAGAGGCUUUAGGUCUGCCUUUCUUUAAUGCCCAGGACAUAUGGCCCUCCUGCAAAGAUAGCGUACAUAAUUCACAAGCUCCCUGCUCACCAUCAAGCACCUCCAUUUAUCAGACACCCGGGCUGAAAGAAGAAUGCAAGUUAAGCUUCCUGCUGCCUUGUUGUUCUCAAUCAGCUGAGUUCCGUUCUAUGAAAUCCUCAGCAAGCCUUUGUCUCCCAGCAGUUGGCUCCUCUUCUACUGACCCUGCCUAUUGUCUCCUUGCAAUGUAUUUUCCUGCUUUCUCUAAUAAAUCUGCCUUUCUCUACCAACGACUGUCUUUUUGUUUUUGUUUUUGAGACGGAGUCUCUGUCUUCCAGACUGGAAGGCAGUGGUGUAAUCUCAUCUCCCUGCAACCUCUGUCUCUUGUGUUCAAGUGAUUCUCCUGCCUCAGCCUCCUGAGUAGCUGGGAUUACAGGCGCCCACCACCACGUCCGACUAAGUUUUGUAUUUUUAGUAGAGACAGGGUUUCACCCUGUUAGCCACGCUGGUCUCGAACUCCUGACCUCAGGUGAUCUGCCUGCCUUGGCCUCCCACAGUAUUGGAUUGCACGCUUGAGCCACUGCGCCCGGGUAUCCUACAACUGUCUUGGUAAAUUCUUUUACUCUGGCGCCACCAGGCCCAAAGAGUCGUUGCUCCCCGUGACCCCAUGCUCUUCAGUUUCCUCUUGGUUUUGUCGUCUUAGGGAGAAGUCAGGAGAAAGGUCGGCUCUGACUGGGUUGAGUUGACAGAUUUUUGCCUUUAGCUUCCAAAGAUGAUGAUAAGAACCCAAAGGGAGAGUCACCCGCGGUAUAACACUGAGAACCCUGGACUGAGGUCAGAAGUCUCUGCAGAGCUUUCUUUACCAAUGUUAAGAUGUAAUGACCAUUUUGAAAGUGAAUAAUUGUUAUUAAAAGAGAAGUGAUAUCCUCAUUCUUCUAUUUGGUUUUCCUUCACUACUGUUGUUAAUGGCAAAUAGAAGCUUCUUGAAUAUUCGUGAAGUUGAAAAAAAAUCAGGCUCUGAAUCAUUAUUUGGUAAGAUCUUGAAAGACUGAAAACACAUUUGUCUGAAUAUCAUUUGGGAAAUAAUUAUUUGUUUUCUUGGAGAAAUUAUGUUCCAAAGUUGAUCUUCAACUGUAGUUAAACGUUUGAGUGCGUGUUUGCAGGUACACUUUGUAUACAGCUUCCCAUGUAGGUAUCCAGGGAAUAGUUCUGUGAAAUCUGAUAUUCAUAUCCCAGCGUAUUUGUUGAAGUUGUAACGCAGACACGCAGAUGGCUGUUAUUAGGCAUUCUACUAUAUUUUGUAAGUUUUAGUUGGAAAGAAAUGUUGAAGAAAGCAUGUGUCUUAGGAGGAGUGUUAUAAUUGUAACUAUGACACCCAUGGCACCCUGAGAAGACAAAAGAGAUCACAGGCCCUCUUGUCUUACCAGUUAGGACACCUUUUCAGCAACAAAACACCCCGGGGAAAAUGUGGCAGGGAGCCAUGUUCUCUUAUCGCUUCCCUCCCUGACAUCCUCAGCUCUCUCUGGUUCCUGGAGCCACACCUGCUACCAGUCCCUGCUCUCUCCAGAGAUCCUUUCCACAAGUUGUU